rnacentral:lncRNA from 11 species
ACAAAACUGAAAAAGGGAUAUGGGAUACAGAUUCAUGUACGAUAUUUGAAAAGAAGGAAUCCCAUCGCGGGAGAUGGAU